rnacentral:rRNA from 1 species
CCUACGGGAGGCUGCAGUGAGGAAUAUUGGUCAAUGGACGAGAGUCUGAACCAGCCAAGUAGCGUGAAGGAUGACUGCCCUAUGGGUUGUAAACUUCUUUUAUAUGGGAAUAAAAUGUUCCACGUGUGGGAUUUUGUAUGUACCUUAUGAAUAAGGAUCGGCUAACUCCGUGCCAGCAGCCGCGGUAAUACGGAGGAUCCGAGCGUUAUCCGGAUUUAUUGGGUUUAAAGGGAGCGUAGGUGGAUUGUUAAGUCAGUUGUGAAAGUUUGCGGCUCAACCGUAAAAUUGCAGUUGAAACUGGCAGGCUUGAGUACAGUAGAGGUGGGCGGAAUGCGUGGUGUAGCGGUGAAAUGCUUAGAUAUCACGAAGAACUCCGAUUGCGAAGGCAGCUCACUGGACUGUAACUGACACUGAGGCUCGAAAGUGUGGGUAUCAAACAGGAUUAGAUACCCCAGUAGUC